AAAGUACUCCCUCCGUCCCAAAAUUCUUUUCUUAGAUUUGUCUAGAUACGGAUGUAUCAAGUCACAUUUUAGUAUUAGAUACAUCCGUAUCUAGACAAAUCUAAGACAAGAAAUUUGGGACAGAGGGAGUAGUUA
rnacentral:pre_miRNA from 1 species